ACAUAAGUGCCAUCGCCGGACUAGGAGCUGUGUGGAGAUGAUGGAGGUCUUUUGUGGCUUUUGGUUUUCUUUGGGUUGAAGGUGUUAGGUGAAGAUACAGAGGCCCUACUGAGUAACUGAACAGGAUGCUGUUGCUUGCUUUGAAGCACGUAACACUGCAGUGCUGAUCUUGGGGGACCUGUAGAGAACAACAUCAAGUGCAGGAGUGCCACGUUCCCAGGAGAUGUGCCAUCUGACUUCAGGUUGCUCAAUUCCAAGACAAAGGGCUCUUUGAUAAUGGGCUAGAAAAAAGGGUUAAAGAAUGGUUUAGAACUAAUUCGAGAAAGAACAAUCCAAUUCCCACUUGGAAAAGGACACAAGCUGAAUCAUACGGGACUGUGGAGCCUGGGGAGGAAAUUGUGAGUACUCGCUCUUGAUUGAGUAUCAUUAUCCUCCUGUGGUCUGGGAAGAUGAUUGUUAUAAUUAGCAGCAAAUGUCAUGGGCAACUAUAAUUUACCUUUCCGUGUAACAACUGAUAGUUUACCUUUUUCAGUGCCUUCUACCUACCCAUCAUGUCAUUCUCCCCACCUUUGGUAACAAUCAGAUACGAAGUGGAAUAGAUUUGUCAUAUGGUGUUGUAUCCCAGUGUAUACUGACAGCAAUCAUGUGGCUAUUAGUUUUUUAAAGUCAUUAAAUGACCACUCACCCUAAUUUUGGGCUCUCUUAAGAUUAAAGUUUCUACAGGGAGAAAUUAGAAACCACAGGGUUACACAAUAGGCGGGCAGGAGAGAUCCUCAGAGAUAGGCUAGGACUCUUUCUUAUUAGUCUUAUUUCUGAGUGUAAAGGGAAGUUACUUACUGCUAUGCACAGUUGCCUUUAAGUGAAUUUUAAGAUUCUUUAGGUUUUAUUUAUGAUGUCCUCUUUUCAAUUCCAUUUGAAUUUAUUGUGGUAAUUUAAAAGCAGUACAUGUAACUCGAGUUGAAUAUUAAAAAUAGAAUGCAAAGGCACAAUAUUUUAUAAGGCAUCAUAUAAUUAAUUGUGAAGAAUAUUUAUGUAGCAUGUAGCUGUGCUAGGUAUUUAUUACAUGAUAGAGUUGUUGAGUUGCCUUUAAAUGAAAGUAGCUCAAGUGCUUGAGUACUGUUUUUAGAAGAGUAGCCCACUCAUUUGGAAUGUUGCUCUGGUCUAGAUAAAUAGGUCCCAGUGUAGAUUUUUUAUUUGCCUUUUUAGGGCCACACCCACAGCAUUCAGCGUAUGUGCAAACUGUCUUUGAUGGUAAAGAAAAUGUCAUACUAAGUAUUAGUUUGAAGUAAGAAAUAAAAUCUUAAAAUGAUAAGAGCACAUGUAACUAGACAAAAGCAUUACAUUAUCAAAUAUUUGUUAUAAAACAUACUAAAAUAGAAAAUCAGAUGUACCAUAAACACUUAAAAUAUGGCUACAUUGGAAAUCUGGAGAUGGAAAUCUAAGGGAUUUAUUUGACUAUUUUUAUUCAAAUGAUUUCUGUUAAGCUCUUUACAAAAUUUCUAUUCAAACCAUGAAUAAAUUGUAGUACUUGAGUUCCCAAAUACUGCAAGACUUACAAAAAUAUCAGCAUAUUCACAUCCUUGUUAAAUUCAUCCUACUAAGGUCUAGUGACUGCCAAAGCAUACAGCAAUAUUAUGAUAAAUCUACUGAGGGGAAUUUGGGAAUGUAUAUAGUAUAGUUGAAGAAAAUGAUUUAUAUAUGACAUAGGACAAAAAAAGUUGAGCUAUUAAAAGCUAAAUACUCUCCAAAAGAUUCUAAUUCUAUAGCAAAUUAUUUGAGGUCCCAUAAUAUGCUAAUUUAAUUUGUAUAUGUAUAAAAAUUUUGAAUUGACAUUCACUGAAUAAUUAGACUUUUCAUAAAUAGUCUUAGAUAAAAUAACAAUAACCCUUUUUUCCACCAAAACCCCCUAACCCCUUAAGGGUGCUCAAUUUAAUUUUAUUUUAAAACUUUUAAGAAUGUUUACUCUCAUCUUCAAUUCUGUUCCAAAGUAAUAAAAACGUAAAUCCACAAUGUGUUUAUUUUUUCCUCCUCCAAAUCUCUGCGUGAUUCUAUUGUUAGUCAUCUGAUUAAAAAUGUACACCAGCUUUGUUUUCUUUUUUUAAUCAAGCAGUCCCAUACUGUUCCUGAAGAGAAAACAGGCUGUUGGCAAGUCUAGUCUACUAUUGGAGAUUUAAAGGCAACUUGAAACACAGCAAGAAAUUAUAACAUUACUCAGAGACUAUUAAAAAUAAUUUAAACUUAAAAAGAUGAAGAAAAAGUGUAAUAAGAAUAUUAAAAUGCAUGGUAUAUAAACCUCUGCCCUGCCACAACUAGACCAGAAAUCAGUACUAAGCUUUGUAACAGUUAACUGAGAAAUUGUAACCUGAACAAUUCCAUAGUUCACAGAAUUGGUGUUUAAAAAUAGACCAAUUGUUUAAGAGGUACAAUUAUUUUGUAUACUAAUCCCGGAAAGAAAUUUCUUGCAAGAUUUCUCAUUAAGAGAAUAAUGUAAACAACAUCCUCUGUGAUAUUCCUACAGGAGAGUUCAGAAGGUCCACUUAAAAAAAUUACGUACUAAUUAUUUAAUAAUUAUUAUGAGCUUUGUAUUAAUGUAUGUAAAUUAAUGUAUAAAUGUGAUAGUUAACCAUACAAAUGUAUGAAUUAUUAAGUGUAUGCUAUAUUUUCUUAGAGUACUACAACAAAGCAGAGGAUAGAGAGGUAAUCUUAUUUUCUAUGGAAGCGCAUAGCAUAAAUACCAUGAACCAGCAGUGGCUUUAAUAGACACCUGGUCGUUCUAUUUGUUGCCAAGCAGAGGGGGAGGGGUUCAGGUGCACACUCCAAAUCAAAAGUCAUCACUUGGCAAACUAUCCAUACAGUUGCCUUAUAAUUUAUGAUCUUAUGCAGUAAGUUAGCUCAUUUAGUUCUCUAAGUAUAUAUUUUGCAAUCGUUUCUCAACUGUACAGAGAAUGGCAUGCUAUUCAAGAUUAACUACUCAAAGGGUUUUUUCCUGAUUCUUUAAAAAAAAAAAAAAGCCAAAGGCCAUGCAAGAUUGGUUUGCUUGUGUAUAUAAUUUUUAGGCUUUUUUUUUUUUGCCAUCUACCCUCUGCUGGAGAAUUUUGGGGAGUUAUUGGUUCUUUCCUCUGUAUAUACAAAAUUACAUCCUGAGGAACUACUUCUUGAAUCUUCCUGUAGGGAGUGAGAAGCUUUCUAGUCACCCUCCAUCCUGUUGGGCAAACACAUCGACUUUCCUGAGAGGAUGUUAGUUCAUCCCAAUUUAGACAUAUGGUCCCAAGCUAAUGCAGAGAUAGCUGUACUUCAAGUAACUAUUAAAGGAUAUACCUUAAGGUCCUUGCUGUUCCAAUUUUAUGUGAUGCUCACUUGAACAAAAGUGUCUUUAUAAACACAGUACACUCAUAUCACUAAAAGGAUAUGUGGUCCAGCUGAGAACUGCAUUAAUUGACUGCUUGUUGCUGUUGGCCCCUCAUAUUAUUGUUUUUAUUGAAUUGCCUCUUUAGGGCAAUGCCUCAGCGUACAGUGAGUCAUUUUGUAAGAAAACAGUCUUACGAAACAUGCUGCUGUUGGGUUUGUUUCAUCAGCUAGUGCCAUCUUCAUGAGCGCUAGUGGGAGAAGUGUCUGUAGGAUUUCAAAAAUAAUAAAGCCUGUCCUGGGCCACAUUUUCCUGUGAGUAAGGUACCCGAAUGGACGACAUCUGAAGCCUGGGCAUCCUGGCUCUGUCGUCUAAGACCUCCUUUGCACCAGAUGCCAGAAAAGGUAGGGUCAAUAUAUGACCUUCUAGCAAAGGUCCAGAUCCAUAGGCAGCUUGUGUUCUCACUUCAGUCCUGGCUUCACCUAAUUUCUUCUGUUGCCAUUUUACCCUUGAUUCCAUUUUUUAUCCUCUUAGUUUUUAUCUUUUCUUAGUAUAGUGUAUGGAUUUUGAAAGCUCCCUUAAAUAAUUUAUGGAAGCGAGUGUGAGAGUUUUGAGAACAGUGAAGGCCUUGACCUUUCAUUGUUCCAUGUCCUCUGAGUCCAGGGAAUCCUGUGUUCUUUAAGCUGUCCCCAUAUGCAGUCAGAUGGCACUCAAGAUUUGCUACUCUUCCCUCUACAGGCCUUUUCUGUCCUGAUAAAAUAUUUUACCACCUUCCCCAGGGAGGACAUGAAACAUGGUUGCUGUUGCAGAUGACUUGUGCUCUGCUUUUUAAGCAUAUAAAUUUUCAUUUGGAUUUAUUUAUUUAUUUGCUUUUUAGGGCUGCACUUGCAGCAUAUGGAGGUUCCCAGGUGGCCCAAUCAGAGCUUCAGCUGCCAGCCUAUGCCACAGCCACAGCCACGUGGGAUCCCGGCCAUAUCUGUGACCUACACCACAGCUCACAGCAACGCUGGAACCUUAACCCACUGAGUGAGCCAGGAAUCAAACUGGCAACCUCAUGGUUCCCAGUCGAACUCAUUUCCACUAUGCCAUGAUGGGAACGCCUAAGCAUAUAGAUUUUAAUAUGAAAGUUAAGUCUUCUUGGAAGUGUUAGAUUCUGUGAGCUUAUGUUUUUGAUGACUCAUAUUGUCACUCAGUUCCUUGCGUGAUUUAGUGAAAGAUCUGAACUCUUCUUCUCUGAAAUGAACACACUCAUUUAAUUUAAAAAAUGGAAUGUUUACAUAAUUAUCUUGAUAAGAGUUGACAGCAAAGCAGAAAUUCUGAGAAAUGCUAGUACUAAAUAUUGUCAGUAAACUCAUUUCUCCUUUGUCUGAAAAUGCUUCUUACUUAAAUGGCAUAGUGGAGAUUCAGUAUAUCCUGAGUCGCUUUAGCAUUCCUACUUUUUGAAUAACUAAGAUGAAUGUGGGAAAAUCAUCUUGAUGAGGUUAUCGUUCAUUCACUGGUCCAUUUAUUCCUACGGUCAGUAACUUCUCUGUACCCUCUGCCAUUCGAGGUAUUGAAGAUUCAGUGAUGAAAUUCAAAAAUCCUUGCCGUCCUGGAAAUUAUAUUCUAGUCAGGGAGAAGAUAAUUAAACAUAGCAGUGGAUUCAUAAACAACCAAGUGAGAUAAUUUAGCAGAUGGUUGUAAGCCUAAGCUAUGAAGAAAAAGAGGUGGCUAAGUGUAGUCAUGAGUUUGGUUAGGGGAAUGAGGACAGGCCAGUGACCUUUGGUAUGAGACCCAAACUAUGAGAGGGAGCCAGGCACACAAAGAUCUGGGGCAAGAAUCUUUUGAGCAAAGAGAACAACCAGUUCAAAGGAUCUGAGAGGGGAACAGGUUUGCAUGAUCGGGGGCCAGGGAAUUCAGUAUGGUUUGAGGACAGCGAUGUCAGAAGCGAAAUAGGCCAGGAGGAGGAGGGGCAGGCAGAGGGUAGGCCAUUUGGGGUCCUGAGCUACACAAGUCUUAUCUGUGGGGACCUUGAGAAAGUCACCUAACAUUAUCUUGGGCUCAGUUUCCAGAAGCAAAUGGGGAGGAGAAAAUCUACUUCCUAGGCUUAAUUGAAGAGAUUUUGCAUGUUAAUCAAUGGUAAGUGCUUGGUAGAAUGCCUGGCACUUAGAAUUAUUUGUGUUAUCUUUUAUUAUUAUGUACAUAAGAAUGGUAUGAUUUUCCUCUAGCUAACAGUUUAUUGCCCUAAUAGACUUUUAAAGCUAUAAGAGACUUGAGUAGUCAUAUCCAAUCUGGACAUUUUACAGAUGAGGUUUUCAUUCAGAGAGGCCCAGUGGCUAUGCAAGUUCCCACCAGUGAGUAAAUGUUUAGACUAGAAACUCAGCCUCUUGACUCUCAGCAAGAGCUUUCUCUAUUAGGUGGUGUUGGUCUGUAUGUAUAAACCUAAUGGCUUAGAAUUAGCUUCCUUAGUAUUUGCCUUAUGGGAUUAUAUUUGGAAAGGUAUUAUUGAACCUGAUUUUUUUUUUUUUUUUUUUUGUAGAGACUGAGAUAGUUACCAUGUUGGUAGUAAAUUUAUAAGCCAAUGAUUUACUGAUAAUUAAAAUAUAUUUGAAAGUAAUUUAAAUUUCACAUUAUUCUGUUUUAAUUCCCUGAUUAACCACAGAUUCAAAUAUCCCAUUUGUAGCUUUAGCAUUUAUAAUUUUGCUAGAUAGAUCUAGCAAAAUUAUUUUAUUAUACCAUUCAUUCAUUUAUUCAUUUAUUACCUCCACAAUCUUUCUCUUCCCCAUACCCAAUGUGAAAACCUGCCCUCAUGGAAUUUAUACUACUUGAGAGAAGCAGAUAAUGAGCACAUGAAUAAACUAACAAAUGACUUAAAAGGUAAUUGCAGAGCAGUCCCCAAAAUAUAUUAAAAUGGGGAAAUCAAGCAAUCAGUGAUUUGUUGUUAUAAUAGAUAGGAAUGUUAUCAUGAACAAGCUUCAGUUCUCUAGCCUCACAACCUACCAAUAAACAGAGUAAUGGUUUAUAUAAAUUCAAAUGCAGUUAUGUACAUGGUAUUACUGAACAGUGGGGUUUAAAUUAAUAUAUAGCAUAGUCUUUGUUAAAGAACCAGUAUAUAGGGAGUUCCCAUUGUGGCACAGUGGUUAACGAAUCUGACUAGGAACCAUGAGGUUUCAGGUUCGAUCCCUGGCCUUGCUCAGUGGGUUAAGGAUCUGGCAUUGCUGUGAGCUGUGGUGUAGGUCACAAAUGCGGCUCGGAUCUGGUGUUGCUGUGGCUGUGGUGUAGGCCAACAGCUACAGCUCUGAUUCAACCCCUAGCCUGGGGACCUCCAUAUGCUGUGGGAGCGGUCCUAGAAAAGGCAAAAAAAAAAAAAAAA
rnacentral:lncRNA from 1 species